UGAGCACCGCAAAUACUUAGACCAAGAGCAACCAAGCCCCUCUAACCCCUAAAAAAAGAAGCCAUUCCGAAGGACACCAAGUAGAUCCAGGCCUGUGGCAGAAAGUACUGGAGGGAGGAAAAAAAAUCCCCACAGGAGUCAGCUAAUAAUUCCACUUUGGCUUAAGCUGACAGCAACCUCUAACAGUCUGCGCCAAGGGCAUAGAAGUUGAAGCUGAACAGAACGAAGACAACUCACCAUAGUCAGAUGGAAGAAAAACCCUGACAGCCGGUGACAGCCUCUGCAACACUUUCCUACACGGUCAAAGACACCACAGGGAUUUUGGCAGAAAGAUGCACCUCACCAGGCGUACUGACCUGCACCAGGCUUAAU